CCCAGACAGCGUUUUCUAUCUCCUAGCUGGUGUUUUUUGUUUGUCUGUGACUGGAGAGUCAGAUUUUUGUUGAGGCUGGAGGAACAGCCUCACACUUGCAGAGGCUAAUACACACUACUGAUCCCUGAUGGGAGAAUCAUCACCUCUGCCAACAAAGAAGCCUGGUGGAUAUUUGUUUGCAGUCUGAUGAUGGGACAUCAUGCUCUGCAUCUUCAAAGUUUGUCUCUUGCUUAUUAUUCAUACACAGUAAUGUGAAUUAUGCUUAUAUCUAGUAUAACUGGACCAACCUGGUGCUCUUCAUUUAUGGAGGCUGUUGAGUCUGAAUGUUGGAUGUUGUGUAUCUCGUGUUCUCUGGGCUUUGUUGUCCUCAGUCUGUUUGCAGGAUCAGAAAACAAAACCAGGAGGUCCAUAAAUGUUUCUUCUCCAAUUGGAUGAUGAUAAGACUGUGACAUGGGAUGCCACCUUUAGUCUUGUGAUGAAGGAAAGCUCAGGAAGAAGUGUGAUUAAAUGGUACCCACAUGUGUGCUGCUGAGAAGGAUGUACAGGGGCACCUGCAGCCAAAUCCAAGCCGCCUCAGAGCAGAGCGGCAGUUUGUGCUCACAGAUGGUGACGGUGUGGAGAGACGGUGGUGUUUCCUCAGAAGAACUAGCAGAGUCACAAAGGACACGAGUCCUUCUCACCACCUUGACUUGCUGACUGAUGCUCGUCUGCACUGCACAGAGGAAAUCAACUAACCGAGGAGUGUUUCUGAGUGAGGGAGAGAGGAGUCAUCAUCCAGGUAAAGUGACGUGGAUCAGUGGACACACUUGUCUCCACUUUAAAGGAGACGAUCCGAGUCAUCCCUAAAUAUGGGCAGGAUAUCAGUCUUGGACUGUCUGACCUGCAGGAGCAGCACAGAAUG